UGAAAAAGAGUUGAAGCUAAAGGAAAAGGGAGAUCCUAAAAAGAAAGAGCUAUAUGCAAGGAUGGAUGUAUGGGGAUCAAGUUAAAGAGAAUUUAAAGUUGAUGAGGUUGAUAAAACAACACUAAUGGCAAUAGGUGACUCAGACAUGGAGGAAGAAGAAACCAACACCGGGGUAAGUGUCCUUGAUCUGAAGGAUACGCUGCAUCUUUUAUCUAAAAAAAAACUUAUUUUUCUUUGAUGAAUGCACUAAUUGGUGAGUUUUAUGAGUUAAUCUUGCUAUGAAUUAGUUAUUCAGUAGCCUUGCAAAUCUUAAAUUUGAAUACAUGAUAUUGAGCUAAAAGGCUGCCACUGAUAAAGAAAGAAAAAAGUCAUAGAUCUGUUAAAAAACAAUUCUACCAACAUGUUUCCAUCAUGGGCAAAAGGAUGUUUAGUUCAUCAUUUUGUUCAAAGAAAAAGUCCUAAGCUACUCUGGGUUCCUAAAAUUAAUUUCUGACCGUCUUGUAGGAUCGAGUGGAAGUAAAAGAGGAAAUAUGAUACAUGAAUAGUUCUUAUUCAAGGAAUAGGAAUAGAGAUAAACUAAAUUUCUUUCACUCACAACUAUAAAGGAAGGAAAUAUAGUAUUCAAAUAUGAUAUGAAAGAUAGCUUAUGAUAGGGGGAACCGUGAAUUAAACAUAUGGAUGAAUAUUGUCUGUUUUAAGAAUCAAAUUGAAGAUAAUUAAUAGUACAUGAGUAUCUUUCAAUGAUUGGAUAAAGAAUACUAUACAAAAUGCAUAUUAAGUUUAACUUGUUCAUCUUAAUGUGCUCUUUGUUUUCAUAAUGUUUUAUGAUGCCAAAUGGGGAAAGUGAGUGUACUGUGUAAUGUUUAUAAUUCAAUGUUCUAACCUGGUUCUUCCAAAAUAUUUCUCCUAAUGUAUUGCUAUUCAUAUGGUUGAAAUAGUUUUCAAUGAUGCCAAAAGGGGGAAGAUACGGAUUGUACAACUUUUGUAAUCUACUUAACUAACCUAGUCCAUUCAGUUAACCAACCUAGUUCAUUCAAGUGUUUCAUAUUUUAUUGUUCACAAGUAAUGCACAAGGACAUGCAUUUAUAAACAUCGAAAAGAGAGAAUCUAUUAGGCCUUGUGGAGUUUUGAUGAUUGACAAGAGGCCAUGGAACAAGUAAGCACUACAAGUUCAUGAAAAACCAUUUCAAGAGAGUUCAACAUGCAAUAGGACUUUUGAUGGAUAAAAUUACAUAUGAAAAAAUAAAGAAAUUAAAGGUUUUUACUUCAUAUAAGCAUAAGGAAAUCAUCAUAUGCUGAAAAAGAGGAUUAGUUCUUGAGUACGACACUUAAGAAUAGAGUCCAAGAAGCAUGGGAUUCCCUGUGCAGUUAAAGCCUACUUAGUUGUAAAUAUCAAUUAGAAUUAUAAAUGUUCAAGGACUUUCAAAAUGAGAUUCAUGUACUUAUACCGAGAGGGAAAAAAAGGUAAAACAUAGGCAAAUAAGUAAGAACAAUAUUUGAGAAAGUUCCGCCUAGCUAUCCAAGUGUUGCCAGUAUGAAGAACCUGAUUGAAGAAACUUGUUCCAUAGGAAUAAAAUUUACAGUUCUUAAGUCUAGUUUUACGUAUUGAUUAAUCGAGUGGUAAUUUCAUGUUUUUCUUGUGUCAAUGGAUAAUAAAAUGGUUUAGGAGUUUAGACUUUAAGUUGAGAUAACUCGAAGACUUGAGAACACCUAAGGUUUGUGUGUGUUUAAAAAUUAGAAUUAGUUCCUAGAGUUGUAAGAGUUUUAUAAUCUAAUUUAAGUCGGGGAACUUGAAGGGGGAUUCAACAGUCUAGGGAGAUUGUUGAAUAUUAAGAAGUAGAAUUUAUAAUUUCUUAGGUUACAAAAUUUGUAAGAUUUUUUUGAAAGGUUUGUCGUGUUUAGUGAAGUUGGGGUUAAAACCUAUAGAGGUACCAACAAAUGCAACUGAAGUUUUGUAGUGUGUGGUUUUGGGUAUGACAUUGUAUUAAUUAAGGAAUCCAUUGAGCGUUGACAAAAAAAUGGAGGCCGCGGUCUUUUACACCUUUUGUGAGUCGGAUGUUUUUGUUGCUCCCAAGCGCACACGCAAGUGUACAUGGUCCACCCAAGUAAUAUAGUAGCCUUGAAAAAGUCAAGUAUCGAUCCCACAGAGACUAGUGUUAAUCAACUAUCCAAUUCUAGUUCAACUAUUAAGAUUAAACCAGUGCUAAAGUAUCUACAAGAGUUGAAAAGUUAAAACUAAAUAUAAACUUAAACAAUGCGGUAAAUUAAAGGUUUGAACUAUUGGGAGAAGGACAGGGUUAAGGCACUACUGUAACACCCUACAUUUUUGAGCAAGAAUUCAAAUCGUCAUUCCUACGUGUAUAAACUCUAAUUUAAUGAUUUGUAUAUGAAUAUAUGUGUCAUGAUCAUUUAUCUAGUGUGAAAAGUGCUAUCGAGGUGAAAAAUGUUCAUAGGAAACACUUAGAGCAAAGUUGAGUUAAGAGCUUUUGAUUCGACCAAAUUUUAGUAUUACAUCCUCCAAGGGUCAACUUUGAUCGUGUAUAACUUCUGGAUUAUAUAGAAUUUUAGAGCUCAAAACCCAGCAAAUUAUAUGUAAAUGUGUCAUCUUCCCAACUCAUCCUAUUUUUCCUUAAUUCGAUACCCGAGAGAAACAUUAUGAGCAUUUUUUGUGAGAAACUAGUGACGGUCAACAAUUUCAACGUGGCACGAACCUUAUGCUCCACGAUUUAGGCGUGGCAUAGACCGGCAUUCAGAAAUGCUAAAACCCAUGUUUAUCUUUAGUUUUUGAGGUUAAACAAGUCAUUUAUGUCCUAAACUAUCCUAUGACUGAUAUAAAUGUGAUUUUAUUAUCCCAUAACCCCAAAUACAUCAAAUAAAUGAUCCUUUUCUUCCCAAAUUCUCAAGAACACCAAGCAAGGGUAUCUUCCAAGAAAUCACCUCCCAAGGCUACAAAUCCAAGUUCCCCUUUCACAAAUUCAUGAAAAUUAGGUAUGUGGAUAUUCAAUGAGGAUCUUCUUUCAUCUACAUGCCCAAAAUUACGAUUUCUAUUCAUGAAUUUUAGGAAUUCCAUAAACUAGGAUUCCAUGAAAAGCAUAAAUUUCAUGAUCUCUCCAUGUAAUUCUUGAAUUCUACCAUGAAAUAGUGUUCCCUCAUAAUUUCAAUUAUUAUUCCGUACUUUAAUCAUGAUAAUUCGUUACAUUGAUGAAUUAUUGGAUUUUUGAGUUAAAGUCAUGAAAUGUCUUAUCAUGUCAUUACUUUGAAAUUAUCGUAUUUAAUUAUAUUAUUUUUCAUGCUGGUGGGUUAUGAACACUUGAUACAUAGGUGAAUUAUGCAUGUUAUAGUUUUCAGGUUACAAGUCGUUUAGAUUAGGCUUGUAUCGCAAAAUUUCAGAAUAACAUCAUAAUGAGCAAUCAUCAGUAUUAUAGCAUGUUGAAUACAAAUAAAUAUCAGUGUCAAUCAGUUGGAAGUAACAUUUAGCACCGAGUGAACGUAGGGGUGACGGCUCUCCCGUCAGUUAGGCAUGAGUCGUUAGUAGCAAUUCCUAAGUUCUAGACCUACGGCGCCACCAUAGAGUAUUGAGGAUUCCCCCAUCAGUAGAGGCAUGACACCCUCAUCCUUCGGGACAUCAGUUUAGUGGAUCCACGUCAGCCAUGUGUUGGUUCCCAUGGCAAGUAUCAACACCCUUCUAACUAGGAUUACAGAUUGGACCCCGAUUAGCUCAGAUUAGGACAUGAUGGUUGUAGUUAUCUCCCACAACCUCAGUUCAGUAUUCAAAUCACAUCAGCUCAGGUUUGCAUGACCAAGUGUUCAGUUUAUCAGUUAUUCAUUUUUAAAGAUUAUGUAAGUAUUGCUUAUGCUUGGUCUUGUAUUCGUUUUACAUAUUCAUGCAUUCAUGAUCAGUAUUCAUACAUGAUCUUCAAUACAGUUUUACAACCUAUUCAGUUUUAACUUGAGAUUUACAUAUAGUACUUAUGUCUCUAUCGCUUCCCAGUUUACAGAAAUAUUUUUAGCUCAUGCUUUAGAAAUUUCACUAUGUCUUACAGCUUUUACAUACAACCAUGAUUUAAAUACAUAUUUCAGCAAAUAGCUUAUAUCCUUAGUUUUAAAGCAUACAUUAAGUAUUUUCAUGAUUUAGUGCAUAUCUCAUAUACUCAGUACAUUUUAAAGUACUGACCACAUAUACGUGUUUGUAGCUAUAUUUCUUCAUGAUGUAGGUACUAGAGGUAGCACACACAUCAGGGUUAGAUAGUUCGUAGUAUUCAGCCAGCAGGUGAUAAGUUCUCUUAUUUCAAAGACUCAAGUCAGUUGCAGUUCUUGUAUUAUAUUUUUUAUUAUUCAUAUGUAUUGACUUAGGAUAGUUGGAGGCAUGUCUGAGCUACCUAUAGUCAAUAUAGUAGAGGCUUCAUAGAUGGUCAGUCAGAGUCGGUAUUUAUAAUUUAAGUUUCUUUUUUAUCUCUCAAAUUUCAGUGUUGUAAACUUUGACUAAUUAUGUAUUGAAAUGGAUUAUCUCAUGUUGAUUAAGCUUACGCUCAGUUACUUAGUAUUUUUAUAUAUAUAUAAUUAGUUUCUCAAGUAUCAUGCCAGUACAUGGGUUAGUUUGAGAUCAAUUAUGGUUCUAAGAACCAUGUUAUGACUAGGGUGUUGUCUCGGGUCGUGAAAACUAUGAACAAUCAUACUAAGCUAUAAAAUUCAUUGGUUAGUUUAAUUAUCUUGGUUGUUGGUUCACGGGGUUAAUACUAUGAAUAUGGCCUUCCAAACCUCUAAUCAUUUAUCUAACUUACCCCCAUAACUACAUUGUUGAGCGAAAAUGCGAGAACUAAGUUAAAUGUGUUCAUUUUUUAUCUCGUAAUUGAACCAAACAGGUCAAGUUGGUAUAUUCCUAUCCUAAAUGCAAAUCAUAACUUCAUUUAGUUGAGAUUACAAUUCUAUUUUAUCUAUCUCACAUUCUAUCCUAUCAUUCCUCCUUCCAGGCUUGUGAUAGAAUUAUACAUGUAUUCUAAGGGUUGCAAAUCCUUACAACAGUGAUAACAAGGAAAAACAAACAACCAAUAAUGAUAAAUAACUAAAACCAACUCAAUCCAUAAUAAUAGUACUCAUGUUAUUGACCUUAAUGCUAGAAAAGUGCGUUUAGCGACUCAUGGACGUAACAAGAAUCAUAAUGAAAUAAUCUAUCAUGACCCAAGACUACUGCUAGUCAUAAAACGGUGCUCAGAGUCACAAGUGACCCUAAGCUAACCCAUGGCCUGACAAAACACUAAGAAUACAGAAUAAAAUAAUGAGAUACUGAGGAAACUAAACUGAAAUGACUGGAUUAUAAUAAAAUCAAAAUCACUAUUGAUAUCAAAACUAAGAUUGCCUGAUAUAAUUAACAUCCUGAAAAGAUAACUAUCGGUCUAAAAGCCUCUAAAUCAUAUGAGUUGUUGGUACAAGCCCCCAACUAACUCCAACUGUCUAAAACUAGAAAAAGUACUAAAAAGAAAUAUUGAUAAUCAGUCUUUAAAUGAUGAGGACUCACUAAACAUUGUUGUUGAUAUGGUGAUCAUACUAAGAGCGAUCUGAAUGCUGAGCGUCAGAACCUAUAUUAUAAGAUAAUAUAGUAUAAAGAAAGUAUGCGAUUGGUACUUUGAAUGUAUUGAGUAUGUGAGAUGAGAAAUAACUAAUAUAGGCUGAGCAUGAUGCAUGUAACAUGGUGAACUGAUUCAAGACCAAAUAAUAAACAUGUACUAUAUGAUAAGCUGAACAACUGAAUACAAGGUCAUGUAAAUAUCUGAAACUAAACUAUACGCUGUGGAUUGUGGUAGCUAACCCAAUUGGAUGGGUGAUUAGUACCUUGCCAAGUGUAUGAAUACUGACUGAUGUGGAUCCACUAAAUAGAUAUUCGAAAGGACUAAGGUGUCAACCCUGGUCUGAUGGGUUACUUUUUAUAACCUACGGUGGCGCCAUAGUUUUGGAACUUGGAGACUUUUACUAAAGGUCUUAACCUAACUGGCGGGUGAGCUUCCAUUCCUGUGUUCGCUCCAUGAUAAGAACUACUCCUAACUUAAUGACACUAGUAAUUGAAAAUGCUCAAUAAUAUAAUAAUUUGAAAAUAAAUAAUUAAUACAUAAUCCAAAAGUACUCAAUAACAUGUAAGAUGGAAAAUAUAUCAUUCAUAAGUGUAUGCAUGAAAUCCUAGGUCAUCGGGUAUUCAUAAACCACGAUCUCUGAAGAGUGUAACUAAAUAUGAAAAUAUUAAAAUCUAAACAUAAUAAUAAAUUUUAUAACUCAAGCCCAAAAAUCAAGAAUUUAUUAGUAUAAUGAGAUUUUAUAAUUCUGAGUGUGGGAAGAUGCUCAGAUUUAUGGGAAAAUAUAUAUAUCCAUAGUUUAGUUAGAGAAAUAAACUGAAAACUUAAGAAAUUCAUGCUUCCCAUGGAAACCCUAAGGUUGAAUGGUGAAUUAAACUUGAGAAAUUGAGUAAUAUUUGGGACUUAAUGGGUGGAAGGAAACCCAUUGAUGAAAUCUCACGUACCUGAGGUUUAAAAACUUGAAGAAAUCUUUGAAUAUAAAGUCGGAAGUUGAAAAGCCUAUUUCUUGUUUGGAGAGGAAAAUUGCCUCUUUCUCACUCUAAAUUUUCUAAGUGUUGAAUGAAUUUUAAGGAAUGGGGUACUUAUGGGUGUUUUAGAUAAUGAUUCAACCCUUGGAGUGCUUAAAUGAUGUAGUUUUGGUGUUAAAAUGGUGAGAAAAGACCAAAUAAUCCCUUCAAAAUCAUUUAGCAAACUUCUAGAAGAAUCCCCUACAACUUAGGCUAUGACUCGUAGGGUCUGGCCAUGUGCCAUGGCUUGAGUCAUAGUCAAAGUACCGAAAUUUUGGUCCCCACUGUUGUAACGACGAGUCCUCCUGACAACUCUUAGGGUCUGACCACGAGUCAUCGUCACUAAAAAAUUUGAUAGUGCUUCAGUAAUUUGGCCAUAAUCUUUUACUUCAGUAUUUGAUUAAGGAAAAACUAGUGGAAUUGGAAAUAUAGUUCAAUUAUCUAUCUUUUAGUGGGUCUUGAGCUAAAAAAUACUUAGUACUUUAAAAGUUAUGCUCAUUUAAAGCUGACUAUAGCAAUAUUGUUCACACAAAUUCAAUUGGUAAGGGAUAUUUUGACUUUUCUAUAAGCUAGAAGUUAUUUGGGGUCUUAAUAUAUGUCUAAUUCACUCACUAAACUAUGAAAAUAUGAUGUUUGAUUUUGCAUGAACUUGAAGCAUGGUUCACACAAAUUCAAUUGGUAAGGGAUAUCUUGUUUCAUACUUUUGCUGAUUUUGUUUACUAUCCUUUUGUCUUGAGUUAGGGGUCUAUCGAAAACAACCUCUCUUCUUCUUCGAAGGUAGUGAUAUCGACUGCAUACAUUUUACCCUAUCCAGACCACACUAUGUGGGAAUAUACUGGGUUUGUUGUUAUUGUUGUUACAUAAUCCAUGUAUAAAUAUAAGAAUAAACCAAAGUAAAAGAGUAAAAACCCUAUUUGAAGCCUCCUUAGUUGUGUAACAAAGCCCCAAGGUCGUCGAAGUUGAAUAUACAAAGGUUGGAGUGUCCUAUUUAUAGUAGACCAAGGCAGCCCAUUAAUAGGGGCAUGCCACGCCCUUAUCAUGUGGCUUAGGGUCCAUGGCACACCACUAUCACAUCUAGCUACUGGAAUUGGACAUUUGACAAUGCAACCCAGGGAGUGCCAUGCCCUUAUCAUGGUGCAUAGGGUUCGUGGCAUGCCACUAAGUCCCAAAAUUCCAGAUUUACACAAUGCUUGUCCUAUGCGUUUGUCCCUUCAUUCCAAGAUUUGUGGUGGUAUUUCAUCUUGAUUUAUAGCUUGUGUAUCAUCCAGUUAUCAUCUUGAUAUACCCACCAAACAUCCUAUAACAUCAAACACCAUGACUUAGAACUCAAAACAACAUAGAAUAUAACACAAUGAACUAGAAAGGAACAUAGCUCAAGCUAAGUGUACUAGUUUUUGUGCUUGUACUUUAACUUAGUAUUUUAACUCCAAAUUCAUUAUGAACACACCUUAUUUAUACAAGAAUCAAUUCAUUAAGCACUUAGAUUCUCAUUUAUGUAAGAAUCAAUUCAUUAAGCACAAGAAAAAUCCUUAUAACUAAGCUAAUUGAGGUUGAAUAACCAUACUUAGGUGCAUAAAUCCACCUAAGGUCAUCUCCCCACACUUAAAGCCUUGUUCAUCCUCAACACUCUUUACUUUAAGCAUCACAUCAAGGAAGACUCCAACACUAGUCCUACAAGUAAGACACCCAAUCUAACACUACAAUGACUAUACUGAAUGUAAGUUUAUAAACUAAGCACAUCAUGUACACUUGAAAGCUCGUGAACAGUACUUCAAGACAUCCUAACCUUAAGACUUGACUCACCAAGUUGGAAAACUUAUGCAUAUCACUCAAUUGAAGAGAUCAUACAAAUCACCUAACUAUCAUCAAACAUGUGCCCUCACUAUAAGAGAGUUACCCAUAUUCACUCGCAUAGAACAAUUUAUCACAAAAUAGGUAUAAGAAUCAAAUUACGCUCACUCUCAUAAAGAAUUCACAAGUUACACACAAUGAAACAGAGGCUUGCCAUUAGUGUAGUACUCCACUACUAUCAGAAUGUUAAGGCUUAAAAUCAAAUAAAUCCUUAAGGAUUGUUAUGUAGGUUAAGGGAUGGGUAGAAACUAUUUUGUCCAAUAAUAAUGACUAUAUUUCUUAAGCGCUUUAAUACAUCACAUGAAUAUUAAGAUCUCUUUUGUUAAUAACCAAUUUCCAUCACAUCUAUCUACACACAUCUUUUAUUUUUCCUCACUCAUUAAGCUUAUUCACAAAUACUUUGGAAGGGAGUAAUUCUUUAUCAACUAGUGAUUAAAUUUCAGCAAAAUUCCUUUUUUAUUUUUCACUGCACAUCUCCCAAACACAAUAAAUCAUUUUGGCACACCAACAGCUUCUACUUUCGGGCUUAAUAUUCACCUUUUCCUUCUUAUUUUGACACUCCUUAAUAUCAUUAAUUUUUCAUUAAAGCGCUUAGGAGUUUUGGAUCAAAUUAAGGUCAAACCAACAAAAGGAAACAGGUUACAAAUGAGGCUACCAAAGAAUAGGUUAAAAGCUCAACAAGGAUAACUAGGAUUACGUAUAAGGGUAGGUAAAAGAAGAACAUGGCUAUCAAAGAAAUGUCUAUAUCAUCCCCUACACCCACACUCGUUAUUUUGCUUUGCACACACACCAGGCAAGUUCUAGAUAUCAAAAUGCAACAAGGAAUACACAAAACCUUACUCACACAUGGCAUAUGCUCAAAUAACGCAGGAUCAUUAAGACUCUCAACCAAGCACAACAAGAAUUCAGAAUUAAGCCAAUAACUUUAAAGAGUCAUAAAUAAAAGCCUAAGAGUAUCAAAAGUAGUCAUUCAACACAAGCAACAUACUUAUAUAUUCAAAGCAACUUACAUCAUGCAAUCAUACAUAACAUUAACAAGAACAUCUCACUUAUCCUAACAUAAAAUUUAAAAUUUACUCCUAAAAAGAAAAUAGGAUAUAGGAUUCAAAGGACACCCCCAUAGAAAAGAACCGAUAAGAACAACCACGGGUGGGUAAAGUGUGUACCUUCUAAACUGACACCCACAAAAUAAAAACUAGACUCAAACAAAGUGAAAAUCUUUUUGUAAUUUUUCAAUUUUUUUCAAUUUAACCCAAUAACUAAGAAAACAAAUAAACUAAGAUCAUAUAUCAUCACUUUACUCAAAAGCAUGAAAAUUUCCUCACCCUAUAAUUAAAAACUUACUUUGUCCCCAAAGUAAACUCAAAAGAAAGGAUAGAAAUACUCCCUGAGGCCUUUAGGCCUAGCUAGUAGCAUAUUUAUACAUUAAAAGGGUCCGGGGACCCCACAUCCAGUCUUUGCCAUGCUUGUUAGCUUUGGUCUAUGAUACUCAGAAUUUUUUUUAACCCGUGACUCAACAAAAACAAAAACUGCGUGAAGUAAAAACUAAAAUACUGAAAAAUAAAAUACCUACCUUAACUUGAUUUAACUCUCAAGAAACACCUAAUUUAGUGUCACGACACGGCCUAACAUCACUACUCAACCAUAUUCCUUCAUCCUCUUUCUCCUACUUGGAGGUCAUCUUCUUACUCAUUUUUGACCUCUUAACUAUGUACUCUCAAGGUUAAUAUUUUUCUCAAUAGUAGACUUUUCAGCGUCGUCAAUCAUCAUUUCUUUGGACUUAGGUGGUAGCUUAGGAAACUCAAUGAGAGAUUUCGAAGAGUUCUUUGGUGGUUUGGAAUCCACCACCCCACACUUAUCAACUUAAAUCACCAUAAUCAUACACAAAUCUUUGUAGUGGGAAGGUGUAUUGAGUGGGUUGUAAACUUUAAAGACCACCUCUUUUUCAUCCAACCUUAUUUUGAGAGUUCCCUCUCUCACAUCUAUCAGUGCUUCUCCGUUGAUAAAAAUGGAUGUCUCGAAAUGAUUGGCACCCUAUUAUAUACAUCACAAUCCAAAACAAUAAUAUUAAUAGGGAUAAUAAACUUACUAACCUUGAUGAGCACUUCCUCAAUGAUUCCUUCGGGCUAGACUUUGGUUUGGUUUGUCAUUUGUAACACCAUAAAGCAUGGCCUCAAAUUCCCUAAACCAAGAGUGUGAACACUGAUAGAGGCAUCAAAUUUAUACUUACAUAUAAGUCACUCAUAGAAUAGACCAAAUCAUUGUCACCAAUUUGUAUGGGGAGGGUGAAACUCCAUGGUCCUUUAGCUUAUUGGGAAUUUUUCUCAUCACCAUAGAGCUGCACUCCUUCGUAUGUUCUACCGUCUCAACAUCCUGUAACUUUAUUUUAUUGGUCACUACAUCUUUCAAGUACUUAUCAUACUUGGGCAUUCCCUGCAAAAAAUCUAAAAGAGAGGUUAAUUUGAAGCUCUCUAAACGUGUCAAAGAACUUCUUGAAGCACACAUACUCCUUUGAAUUCUUAAGCCUCUAAGGGAAUGGUGGUGGUGGUCUCUCAUUCUCAACAACUUAAGUUUUUGGGUACUCAAACUUUCCUAAGUUAUCAUCAUCUUUCACCGCAACCUAUUGUGGAACUAACUCAGCCUGUACCUCUGGAUUUUUAUAGAUGCCUAUUAAUAAUCUCCUUACCACUCCUCAAUGUGAUUGUAAUAACUUUUUUUAUAUGUGUAGUAUCACUUGGAGGACCACCUUGAGGCCUAGUAUUCUGUGAUUGAGCUAGUUGCACUAAUUGCUACUCUAACUGCUUCUGUGUAAUUUGCUGAUUUUUUAUUUUAGCAGCCAUCUGCUCUUGAUUGUCCAGGAUUUUUUUCAAAGUCUCCUCAAUGUUAUUGGCCUAUGUAUUAUGUUGCUGCUAAUACUACUGCUGAUUAUUGCCCCAAGAAUAAUUAGGAUGAGUCUGCCACUUGUGGUUGUAGGCAUUACCAUAUGUACCUUUUUGUUCGUUGCCUACAAAGUUUACCGAUUCAGGGUUUGCACCACAUAAGUCUACAGAAUGCCCAUUGUUUCCAUAUAUCUCACACCAUGAUGGAUCCUGCUAUACCAUUUUCACCUGAGCCUCAAUUUGUUGCACACCUAACUUGCUAAAUUGAGUCAUUAUCUUAUUCAGCAUAGCUGAUAGUUGGGUGGCUAAGGCUGUGAUACGAUCAACUUGAAUCAUGCUCGCAGCCUUUCUCACCGAGCUUCAUGAGAUAUCACGAUGACAGUCUGGAUUCUCUUGAGCAAUAUAGUUAAAUAGGGUAUACAACUCAUCAUAUGUUUUCCCAAAGCCUAACCUUCUACAACUGAAUCUAAUAAAAUUUUCAUAUUAUAGCCAAGUACAUCAAAAAAGAUAUGAGAUAAUACCCUAUUGGACUACUGGUGAUGUGGAUAGUCCCAAGGAAGAGAUAUGAACCUCUCCCACACAUGAUACAGGUUCUUAUCUGGCUUCUAUUUGAAGCUCAAUAUCUCAUUGCGAAGUCUUGCUAAAUGGAAAGAAUUGGAUGAGGAAUAUUCGAGCUAAAUUAUCCCAUGUUAUGAUUGAACCUACUGGUUCAGUGUUCAACCACUUCUUUGAUUCCCCCAAGAGUGAAAAGAGGAAGAAUGUCAGUCUCACAUAAUCAGUUUUUAUACUCGUAGGGACGAAUGUGCCACUGAUCUCAAGAAAAUUUUACAAGUGGAUUUGUGGAUCUUCAUGUGACAAACUAGUAAACUGUCCACUGCUGUGAAAAAUUUGCACCAUAUUCAGCUUCAAUUCAGAUCUACAUCAAGGAGUUAGUCUUUGAAGAGCAGAGGUUACAUUAGUCCUAAGUGGGAUUGCCACUUCGUGAAUUAUCCUAAGGGCUGGUGGAUCUUCAACCAUGGGAUUAGGAGUAUUUUUUCUCUGUGAAUUUGAGGGAUUCUGUAGAGAAGUACUGCUUCUCUCCUUUGUUUAUGUAAGCGUUGCUCAAACUCAAGAUUUGGCUCAACUAACUCCCUAUCCCUAGCCAGCUUACUCGCUUUUUAAACUUGUGCCUGCAAAUUUAGAAAACAAGAUCAAGUGAAUAGCACCGAAGAUCUUAAAAAGUAAAACUAAAACAAAAACAGUUGGCAAAUUACAAAUCCCCAACAACGGCGCCAAAAUCUAGUUGCACCCAAGCACACACGCAAGUGUACAUGGUCCACCCAAGUAAUAUAGUGGCCUUAAGAAAUCCAAGUAUCGAUCUCAUAGGGACUACUGUUAAGUGACUAUCCAAUUCUAGUUCAACUAUUUAGAUUAAUCUAGUGCUAAAGUAUCCACAAGAGUUUGAAAGUUACAACUAAAUGUUAACUUAAAUAAUAGGGUAAAUUAAAGGUUUGAAGUAUUACGGGGAGAAGCCUAUGCUUAAGGCACUAUGAACAAUCAUUCUAAUCUAUAAACUUUGUUGGUUAGGUUAAUUAUCUUGGUUGCUGGUUCAUGGGGUUAAUACUAUGACUAUGGCCUUCUAAACCUCUAAUCAAUUAUCUAACUAAGCCCUACAACUACAUCGUUGAGCUGGGAUGCGAGAACUAAAUUAAAUGCAUUAAUAUUUCAUCCCUUAAUCGAACCAAAUAGUUCAUGUAUAUUCCUAUCCUAAAUGUAAAUCAUAACUUCAUUCAAUUGAGAUUACGAUCCUAUUCUAUCUAUCUCACAUUAUAUCCUAUCAUUCCUCCUUCUUGGCUCGUGAUAGAAUUAUACAUGUAUUCUAAGGGUAAAAAAUCCUUAAGAUAGUGAUAAAAAGGAUAAGAAGACAUCCAAUAAUUAUAAAUAACCAAAAUCGAUCCAACCCAUAAAAAAAGUACUCACGCUCUUGGCGUUAACCCCGAAAAAAGGGCAUUUAGCCAUUCAUGGAUGUAACAAGAAUCAUAAUAAAAUAAUCUAUGUAUAAAUCCAAGAAUAAACUAAAUUAAGAGAGUAAAAAAACUUUUUUCAGCCUCCUUAAUCGUGUAACAAAGCCUCAAGGUCUUCCAAGGUGAAUACAUAAAGGUUGGAGUGUCCUAUUUAUAGUAGACCAAGUAUAAUACCUCGAGAAUCCCAACCAAUAUUAGAACCAUGCUUAAAGCUCAUGAGAAAUAAAUUAUAGUGCUUUGGUAGUUUUAUGAUUGAGUUUGAUGUGUAUUAAGGCCUCAAAUAACUCCUAACUAUUAGAUGAAUCAAAAUAUCCCUUACCAAUUGAGUUCUUGAGAAGGAUGUUGCUAUAACAACUUCAAAUGAGUAUAUCUUUUGUUAUACUACUAAUUUUUGAGAUCAUGAAUGACCAACAGAUAGAUAAUUUAAUUAUAUUUCCAAUGAUACCAAUUUCUGCUUCAUAUGAUAUUGGGGUAAAAGGUUAUGCCCAUUUUACCAGAGAGUUGUCCGACUGCCGAGGUACGAUGGGAAAGUUGACGGACCAUCAUGCCAGAGAUGGACCGUCAACCAAGCCAUUGAAACUCAGGUAGUGAGCUCGUUUUCUAGCCAUAAACUAAUGGUUUUAGUGACGGUCAUUCAUCAAAGUGACGGUCCGUCACCCAGACCAUCAACCAAGUUCGAAGCAGUGCAGUAAUGAUAUUUUAAUGAGAUUUUUAGGUCUUUUGCCAUCCUUUUUAAUUCCUAGUUCCAUUAAAUUAAAGAACAUAACUCCUCAUUCAUCCUUAACAUAAAAAUUAGGGUUUCUUUCAAGAUCAUUCCCCAAGAAUAAUAUUCAAACCCUUUUUCAAGAAAACUCAAGAAUCAAAGCGUCGCCAUUCAAGAACCUUCAAGAAAAGUUAAUCUCUUUCAAGAUUCAAGCUUUUGAAGUAUGUUAGAUGUUAAUACAUGGGUCCUUUUCACCCAUGAAGUCCAACAACCCAAUUUCAAAUUCAAAUUUAUAAUUUUUACAUGAUUAUUAUGAUUUUUAACCAUGAAUUUUUAUUAUAUACCAUGGUUACACGUAAUUGUUGUUGUUAUUAAACCCCACAUGUUUGAAGGUGUUGUUCAUUGAUUUAAGCCUUAAUUGGUGCUUUAAUUAUUGAAAUCAUGCUAUUACUACAAGUUUUAAAACUAAUCCCAUUCUUAUCUUAAACCAUGCAUUGCAAGUGUUUGAUGAAAUCCUAUAAGAAUGAGUUUUGAAUAAAUACUUGCAUAUCAUGUCCUCAAAGUUUUAGUCUGAUUUUUCUAUAAUUGCUUUCGAGUCUUGGGGGUUUGAACACUCAAAAUUUAGAUGCUUACCUAGUUUUCAGUAGCUACAGAAUGGUUUUAGAAUAGUUAGGAGCGUUAUCAGUUCGACCAUUUAUUACAUUCAGUUAAACUCAGCUAAGUCUAAUAAUCAGUGUCAUUCAGUUGGGAGUAACACUUAGCACUGAGUGAGCAUAGGGAUGGUGUCUCCCCCAUCAGUUAGGGAUGAGGCACUAGUAGCCGUCCCUAGGUUCUAGACCUACAGUGCCACAUAGAUUUUGAGGGGUACCCCGUCAGUUAGGAAUGACACCCUUGUCCUUUGGGACUUUCGAUUAGUGGAUCCACAUAACCAGUGUUAGUACCCAUGGAACGGUACUGACACCCUUCUAAUUAGGGUUACAGGUUGGACCUUGAUAGUAUAUUAGGGCAUGUCGGUUAUAACUAGCUUCUAUAGUCUCAGUCCAAUAUUCAUCUUAUUAAUUUAGUUUUAGUUUUGCUUGACCAUAGCAUAUAGAUAUCAAUUACUCAUUUAUCGGUACUCAGUAUUUCAGUUUUUAGACUAUAUUUAGAACAUGUUUUAUGCUUGGUCAUGUAUUCUCCAUCUUUAUAGAUUUCAUGCAUUUUUACUCUAUACCUUAUGUUAUAUAUUCAGUCAGUUAUUACUCAUGCACAUGAACACAUGUAUAUUAGCCUAACCUUAUUUAGCAUACCAAUAUAUUCAAAGUACUGAUUGCAUACUCAUUUCUUGCACUAUGAUGUCUUAUAUCAUAGGUUGGGACGCUCGGGUUCCUAUUAUCAGCAACAAUCAACAAUGGUGAGUCCUCAUCCUUCGAGGAUGAGUUAUCUUACAUUCAGUAUAUCAGUAGUUCAAUUAUUUAGUUAGUCGGAGUUAAUUGGGGGCUUGUCCCAUCAACAG
rnacentral:lncRNA from 1 species